rnacentral:rRNA from 1 species
CCUACGGGUGGCAGCAGUGGGGAAUAUUGCACAAUGGGGGAAACCCUGAUGCAGCGACGCCGCGUGAGUGAAGAAGUAUUUCGGUAUGUAAAGCUCUAUCAGCAGGAACGAGACAAGACGGUACCUGACUAAGAAGCCCCGGCUAACUACGUGCCAGCAGCCGCGGUAAUACGUAGGGGGCAAGCGUUAUCCGGAAUCACUGGGUGGAAAGGGAGCGUAGACGGCUGUGCAAGCCUGAAGUGAAAGGCGGGGGCCCAACCCCUGGACUGCUUUGGGAACUGUACGGCUGGAGUGCGGGAGAGGUAAGUGGAAUUCCUAGUGUAGCGGUGAUAUGCGUAGAUAUUAGGAGGAACACCAGUGGCGAAGGCGGCUUACUGGACUGUAACUGACGUUGAGGCUCGAAAGCGUGGGGAGCAAACAGGAUUAGAUACCCCUGUAGUC